rnacentral:rRNA from 1 species
AUACGGAGGGUGCAAGCGUUACUCGGAAUUACUGGGCGUAAAGCGCGCGUAGGCGGCUAUAUAAGUCGGAUGUGAAAGCCCUGGGCUCAACCUGGGAACUGCAUUCGAUACUGUAUAGCUAGAGUUUGGUAGAGGGAAGUGGAAUUCCACAUGUAGCGGUGAAAUGCGUAGAUAUGUGGAGGAACACCAGUGGCGAAGGCGACUUCCUGGACCAGAACUGACGCUGAGGUGCGAAAGCGUGGGUAGCAAACAGGAUUAGAAACCCUAGUAGUCC